UACGAAGGGGGCUAGCGUUGUUCGGAAUCACUGGGCGUAAAGCGCACGUAGGCGGAUCUUUAAGUCAGGGGUGAAAUCCCUGGGCUCAACCCAGGAACUGCACUCGAAAACUUCUUUUCUUGAGUGCCGGAGAGGAAAGCGGAAUUCCUGGUGUAGAGGUGAAAUUCGUAGAUAUCAGGAGGAACACCAGUGGCGAAGGCGGCUUUCUGGACGGUAACUGACGCUGAGACGCGAAAGCGUGGGUAGCAAACAGG
rnacentral:rRNA from 1 species